rnacentral:rRNA from 2 species
AAACUUCUUUAUCACCGAGUGCUUGCACUCACCGAUAAAGAGUUGAGUGGCGAACGGGUGAGUAACACGUGGGCAACCUGCCCAAAAGAGGGGGAUAACACUUGGAAACAGGUGCUAAUACCGCAUAACCAUAGUUACCGCAUGGUAACUAUGUAAAAGGUGGCUAUGCUACCGCUUUUGGAUGGGCCCGCGGCGCAUUAGCUAGUUGGUGAGGUAAAGGCUUACCAAGGCAAUGAUGCGUAGCCGAACUGAGAGGUUGAUCGGCCACAUUGGGACUGAGACACGGCCCAAACUCCUACGGGAGGCAGCAGUAGGGAAUCUUCCACAAUGGGCGAAAGCCUGAUGGAGCAACGCCGCGUGGGUGAAGAAGGUCUUCGGAUCGUAAAACCCUGUUGUUAGAGAAGAAAGUGCGUGAG